GACGAACGCUGGCGGCGUGCUUAACACAUGCAAGUCGAACGGAAAGGCCCUGCUUGCAGGGUACUCGAGUGGCGAACGGGUGAGUAACACGUGGGUGAUCUGCCCUGCACUUCGGGAUAAGCCUGGGAAACUGGGUCUAAUACCGGAUAGGAGCCAUUUUUAGUGUGAUGGUUGGAAAGUUUUUUCGGUGUAGGAUGAGCUCGCGGCCUAUCAGCUUGUUGGUGGGGUAAUGGCCUACCAAGGCGGCGACGGGUAGCCGGCCUGAGAGGGUGGACGGCCACAGUGAGACUGAGACACGGCCCAGACUCCUACGGGAGGGAGCAGUGGCGAAUAUUGAACAAUGGGAGCAAGCCUGAUGCAGCGCCGCCGCGUGGGGGAUGACGGCCUUCGGGUUGUAAACUCCUUUCGCUAGGGACGAAGCUUUUUGUGACGGUACCUAGAGAAGAAGCACCGGCUAACUACGUG
rnacentral:rRNA from 1 species